rnacentral:rRNA from 1 species
CCUACGGGAGGCAGCAGUGAGGAAUAUUGGUCAAUGGGCGAGAGCCUGAACCAGCCAAGUCGCGUGAGGGAGUACUGCCCUAUGGGUUGUAAACCUCUUUUGUCGGGGAGCAAAAGCCGGACGUGUCCGGCUGUGAGAGUACCCGAAGAAAAAGCAUCGGCUAACUCCGUGCCAGCAGCCGCGGUAAUACGGAGGAUGCGAGCGUUAUCCGGUUUUAUUGGGUUUAAAGGGUGCGCAGGCGGAUUUUUAAGUCAGCGGUAAAAUCGUGGGGCUCAACCCCAUCCAGCCGUUGAAACUGGGGAUCUAGAGUGUGCGAGAGGUAUGCGGAAUGCGUGGUGUAGCGGUGAAAUGCAUAGAUAUCACGCAGAACCCCGAUUGCGAAGGCAGCAUACCGGUGCACAACUGACGCUCAGGCACGAAAGCGUGGGUAUCGAACAGGAUUAGAUACCCGAGUAGUC